ACAUUAUUAUGUAAUGAAAAAGCUUGCUGGGAAGAAAAAAAAAGUUACAGCAGAUGCUUCUGAGUGUGCACAACAUUAUUAAAGCCAGUUUAUAUAAAAC